GGAACACAACCGUCACCCUGAAGGCAAGAGCCACAGUCGACCACACGAUCAUAGACACAGCAGUCUAGCUCAAUCAUGGGUCUAUUCUCUGGUGCUUGGUAUGUGCAGUUUACUACUGUGUUAUGUUUUGGUUCUAAAGUGAACCUAUUAAAACACAUUUGGCUUGUCCAAACAGAACUGAACUUCUGAUACUGAUAUUAUAAACAACAGGGCAUGCUCACGGUGCUCUGAGUGUGUACACCCUGGUUUCUGCUCUGUUCCCUGCUGUGAGGAAGAACCUGGAUGGGGUUGUAACUGCUCUGGUGGACAGUGGGGAAGAUGUCAACAUGUGUGCACACUCCUCUGCUGAUGUCAGCUGACCUGGGACACACUGAGACAUUCAGAGUGCUAGCUGCCAAACAGUCCAGUGUGGGUGCUACCCUCCCAACCUCUCCUCAGCCCAACACCUGGCUGGCCAGAUUGGGAGUGAGGUCAUAACCCAGACCCUGCUGUAGAUGGGCUCAGACCCCAACACCCCAGGGCCUAUAGCCAAUGCCAACAUAACACGUCUACUAUAGUGGGAUUACAGCUAAAAGCAGGAGCUCAGUUGUCUUGAAAGCAUCAUAGAUCCAGAGAAUGCCAGACUUUGAUGACAAAGUUUGAUGACAAAAUUUACCUACAAGAAGGACCACUUCAAGUGAGCACAGUACAACAAGGUGACAAAAGCAGCAAUCCCCCUACUCUCUACAAAAACUCUCUACUGUUGCCUCCAAGAAGAUUGCUGUGGAGGCAUUCCAUCAUCAUUUCAAGGUACUGUGAGGUUUACCAUUUCCAGAACUGACAGUCAGACUUGCAUGUCACUCAAAUGUUCCUCAUACGCCAGAAGUAGUUCUGUGGCAAUUGGUUAGGGCUGUGAGUACAUGUGAGGGGCUUUCUCAAGUAGUCUUUCUAGGUUGUCCUCUUUGUCUGGCCCCACACUGAGAUGAACAAGGUGGUUAGAAAGGGUGGUCAGCUAAACACCCCACUUGUUCAUUUUUUGGUUUAUUUGUCAGGGACCAUGUAUGUGC
ensembl:lncRNA